AAUGAACGCUGGCGGCAUGCCUAACACAUGCAAGUCGAACGAGACCUCCGGAUCUAGUUGCCCAUGCGUGCGUCACGCGUCGGAACCUUCACUUAUGGUUGGAAUACCUCUCCGACAGGGGUGCUAACGCCGGAUAAUGUCUUCUAACCAAAGAUAUAUCGCGCUUGGAUGGGCCCGCGUUGGAUUAGCUUGUUGGUAGGGUAAAAGCCUACCACGGCGAGGAUCCAUAGCUGGUCUGUGAGAAUGGUCAGCCACACUGAGACUGAGAAGCAGUCGGGAAUCCUACGGGAGGGGGCAGUGGGGGAUAGUGGAAAACGGGCGGAAGGCUGAUGGAGCUAGGCCGGGUAAGCGAUGAAGUCCGUAGAGAAGUAAAGCUCUUUUACCCGUGAUGAUAAUGACGGUACCGAGAGAAUAAGCUCCGGCUAACUCCGUG
rnacentral:rRNA from 1 species